CGGCCAGUUCUUAAGAAUAUUUACCAAUGAGCAAUAUGACACAACUGUUUAUUUAAAAUUCAAGCAUAAAAUUAAACUUCAGAUAUCUAAUAUCUACUCUGACCCCACCAAUGUAAAUAAUUUGUAUCAGGUAUCAGUCACAUAUGUUAAUUUAGAGGUAGUAUUUAUUGUAGCAUUUGAAGAGAGUUGCAGAACUGCCUGUUGGUGUUUGAUUGAACUUGUAUUGCUCACCAUCUCACCACGACAUGGUACUGUACAAUUUUUAUCCUAAAAUAGUUUUAUGGGGUCUCUUCUUAUAAUGAAUAUUCUGUAUUUUUACAACAUGCAAGGAACCUAGGCUAUACGUGUCAGAAAUAGUAUUUUAUUUAUUGGGUACAAAAUGGGUGCAAUUUAUUGUACUUGGAAUGUGUUUUGGUAGAGUUUUUAUGUUACAUUUACGUCUUAUGUCUUCAGUUAUUUUUUAUUGUUAUAUGCAAUGCUAUAUUUUUAGAUUGCCUUUUAUGCUGAUUUUAUGUAUACUUUGCAGCAUAUACAGUACUCUGGCUACAACAAAUGUAAUGUAAAAUCAAUCCAUGUUAAUGUCUUUGUUUAUAUUUGUCCUGUCUUUCAGCUGAGACUGUUUGUGUUGCUUACAGCAGUGGUCUGCUGUAAUGAAGCCUGGGGAAAAGUACUGCACACUGGAGAUACCACAGACAGCCCACAAGAUGUGACGGGGGAUGAGUUUUUCAACCAGAAUGAUGACUUCAUAGGCAAUGAGCUGUCAGUUCCAUCCUUUUUCAUUUCUCAAGAAAAUUCUUCUCAAUAAAUUAAAAAAAUACAUAUAUUCAACUCAGUUUGUAUAUUUGUGUGUUGGAACAGAUAUGACACCACUGCUCAGCCCACUGCUGAUGGCCAAGUGACUGAAACAAUAAUGUAAGAUAAAUGACCAGGCUAAACCCUGCAGAAUGAGCUGAUUUAAACAGCAUUUUAAAUAAACAUACCUUACAUCAUGCA
ensembl:lncRNA